rnacentral:rRNA from 1 species
UGGGGAAUAUUGGACAAUGGGCGAAAGCCUGAUCCAGCCAUGCCGCGUGUGUGAAGAAGGUCUUCGGAUUGUAAAGCACUUUAAGUUGGGAGGAAGGGCAGUUACCUAAUACGUAUCUGUUUUGACGUUACCGACAGAAUAAGCACCGGCUAACUCUGUGCCAGCAGCCGCGGUAAUACAGAGGGUGCAAGCGUUAAUCGGAAUUACUGGGCGUAAAGCGCGCGUAGGUGGUUAGUUAAGUUGGAUGUGAAAUCCCCGGGCUCAACCUGGGAACUGCAUUCAAAACUGACUGACUAGAGUAUGGUAGAGGGUGGUGGAAUUUCCUGUGUAGCGGUGAAAUGCGUAGAUAUAGGAAGGAACACCAGUGGCGAAGGCGACCACCUGGACUGAUACUGACACUGAGGUGCGAAAGCGUGGGGAGCAAACAGGAUUAGAUACCCCCGUAGUCCCUGAGCGGGCUGGCAAGGCGCAU